rnacentral:rRNA from 1 species
CGAGUUAUCUGAACCUUCGGGGAACGAUAACGGCGUCGAGCGGCGGACGGGUGAGUAAUGCCUAGGAAAUUGCCCUGAUGUGGGGGAUAACCAUUGGAAACGAUGGCUAAUACCGCAUGAUGCCUACGGGCCAAAGAGGGGGACCUUCGGGCCUCUCGCGUCAGGAUAUGCCUAGGUGGGAUUAGCUAGUUGGUGAGGUAAGGGCUCACCAAGGCGACGAUCCCUAGCUGGUCUGAGAGGAUGAUCAGCCACACUGGAACUGAGACACGGUCCAGACUCCUACGGGAGGCAGCAGUGGGGAAUAUUGCACAAUGGGCGCAAGCCUGAUGCAGCCAUGCCGCGUGUGUGAAGAAGGCCUUCGGGUUGUAAAGCACUUUCAGUCGUGAGGAAGGUGGUGUAGUUAAUAGCUGCAUCAUUUGACGUUAGCGACAGAAGAAGCACCGGCUAACUCCGUGCCAGCAGCCGCGGUAAUACGGAGGGUGCGAGCGUUAAUCGGAAUUACUGGGCGUAAAGCGCAUGCAGGUGGUUUGUUAAGUCAGAUGUGAAAGCCCGGGGCUCAACCUCGGAAUAGCAUUUGAAACUGGCAGACUAGAGUACUGUAGAGGGGGGUAGAAUUUCAGGUGUAGCGGUGAAAUGCGUAGAGAUCUGAAGGAAUACCGGUGGCGAAGGGCGGCCCCCUGGACAGAUACUGACACUCAGAUGCGAAAGCGUGGGGAGCAACAGGAUUAGAUACCCUGGUAGUCCACGCCGUAAACGAUGUCUACUUGG